rnacentral:tRNA from 1 species
GCCGCGAUGUCCGAGUGCUUGAGGAGAUUGACUCGAAAACAAUUUUGCUCUUCCCGCGUAUGUUCGAAUCCUGCUCGCUGCG